CCAAAGUGGUUAUGCCAGGAGGUAAUUCUUCCAAGAUCUGACCUAGUGGCAGAGAGGGUCACAGGGCUUUACCUCAUCAGGGGCCAUCCCUGUCCACAGUGUUGGAGAGGAAGCUGGGCCUGGAGUCUGUACAUUUAAAUUCAAAAUGUAAAAAAUACAAGU
ensembl:snoRNA SNORA73 Small nucleolar RNA SNORA73 family